rnacentral:lncRNA from 1 species
AUCAGUUACUGAGGAGGUUAGAACUUCAGGCAUCCCUACGAACAUAUCUAAUAUGGACACAAAUGUCAACAUGGGUGAAGGUGUUGGGUUUUGAGCAUUCUAACACUCCUAAGUGUACAUGCAACCCUAAAUACCUUGGAUCUAUGUUUUCUCUAUUAUACAUGCAAAUAAGAACUUCCAAGGUAUUAUCCUAAUCUAGCAUACAAAAAAAUAACUAUAGCAAGAUAGAAUACAUACCUCUUUGAUGUAGAAAGUCUUCAUGAAGCUUGAGUGCCUAGUGCCCCAAGUGUGACACCUCAAAUGGAAUCACAAUCAUCAAAACACUUAGAAUAGCUUGAGAGAAUUCUACACUUUAUGAAAUCGGCUAGCCCUCUCUAGAAUAAUACUAGCGCACGAUUUUGCCAAGAAGAAUAUCUUUAUAUAGUGUUACAAUUAGGGUAAACUCCUAAUUGUCAUGGCUUUCCAUUUCCUUGGAUCCAUGGGUUCAAAUACACCAUGGAGCAUCCAUGGACCAUCCUAUGGGUUUUAGCCCAACUUGAUUAUCCAUGGAGCAUUAGCCCACUAUACAAGUAUGGAUGAUUUACACAAUCAACCCAUAUAUUUAAUUAGUCUUCUUUUGAUCACUUAAUUAAUCCUAGAUUAAUUCUUGAUCAAUACUAAUUAAAUAAUCUUAUUAUUCUUAUUAUUAAUAUACUAGAACUUAUAAUAUAUUAAUAACCAUAAGUGUCUUAUUUCUCUCAUUAUAGUCUAUCCAAGUGCAUGAUGGUAUGCAACCCAAAUGGACCAUGCCGGGUCGGGUCAAGUCUUACCAAUUAUAGUUAUGGACUUAGACAUUAAUCCAACAGUCUCCCACUUGGAUAAGUCUAAAACUAUUAUUGCGUAUGACUUCAGGAACCAACUGGCAAUCGUAGCUCUCAAAAGCUUCUGUCGAACUCUGACCUUGUAGAUGAACUCUGACCUUUGUCAAUGACUUGUCCAUUAGAUAAGGGAUCAUAUAUUCCUCCAUUCUAGAUAUCAUAUGGACUGAGACAUGGAUUAUAAUCAUUCUCUCUGUCCAUUUGUUGUUUCCCGAUUUCCGAUUUAUGACGACUGACUAAUUGAACAAAUCAAAUCAGUCCUGGCCCGGCCGAGCACUUCCAUUUGUCAUCAUCAAAUCAUCGAGGGGCCCACAGAUAUCGCUUUUAUCCCGAAGGUAAAAGGAAUGGAUAAACUUCGACUCAUAUGGCUUGUUCUACUACUUGUUGAAUCAUACACAAAGGCACGUUUUAUAGCACCGAGUUACCAAAUGCGUUUUCGUGCAAUCAAUGUACUAUCAACUCAUAGUAACAACUCAUAUCUCUAGGUUUGAAGAAUAUAAGAUAUUAUCGUCUCAUGAUCACUCGUGAUAAAAUCCAUGAAGUGAUUCCAAUGAGCGCGGGUUGAAUCCAAUACUCAGAACUUAUGAGCACUCAUGAGUGUUGUAGCCCUUUGUCCAACACCUUAGACCUCUACAAGCCAACCCAUGACAGUCUUAAUUCAUAUCUACUUCCAACAUAUGACCGACUGUGGAUGGUUUGAAUAACUUAGUCAUUCCGGAAGAAUAACCUAGUUUAUUCGGGAAGUCAAAACAUGCAAAGUGAAACACAAUAAUAAUUGAAUCCAAUAUGGUAUCAACCCUUUGAACAUAAAUAAAACACCUUUUAUUUAUCACCAUAUGAUUACACAUUAUUCAUUGUAUACUGUUUCAGCUAUCAACUUUAUUCUUGAAUUUAAAACAAUAGUUGUCCCAUGCUCCAAGCAUGUACACUAUGUUUUCUUAAACACUAGUCAUGCCACACACCAAGUAUGCAUACUAUGUUUGUCUAUGAUCUUUACUUUGUGAACUAGAUCAAUUGAACAUAACUUCAAUGAUUCUCUUUUCACACUCCCAAAUCCUUACUGCAAAUGCAAGAAUUCCAAAUUCAUGCCAUUUACUGAAAUCUGUUAGAUUCUAAACUUAUAUGCAUUGAUCCUCUUGUAAUGAUUAUGCACAAAGUCAGAAAGACUUGACAACAAUCAUUACAGAGUAUUCCAAAGGAGAUCAGCUCCUUGGAAACAUCCUUCUUGCAUUAAGUUUCCUAAUCUUAAACAGAUUGAAAAUUCUAACUUUGAAACAUUUCCAGAUUCCAUUUUGACUAUCACUUCUGAACAAGAGUUGCCUCCUUACAGAUUAUGUCAAUAUGGUCCUUCCAGAAUUAUCACUAUACUUCCAACUGUCCUUGAGCAACCAAUCUUUGGUAAACCUUAGAUUGUCCUCGACAAUUGUUUAAUCCUUUUAGUCAUAUCCAGUUCUAAACCUUUUCCCUUCUUAAUGCCCCAGGCAUUUGGAAAAUUUUAGAACGGAUGAAUAUAGCACAUGUAAUCGAUCCUAUAUCCGAAGCAUAUGGGACACGAUUCAUGAUGUCUCACAUAAAGACUAAACCAGUCUUUUGCUAUAAUAUUUCCAUUUCAAUUUGCCAAGUUCUCAUAAUUCAGAUUAUGAAAAGGGAUGCCGUAAUCAUAAUCGAAUUUUAGAACGCAAAUAAUGGACCCAUAUACAGAAUUUCCUUAUGUUGAGCCAUUCCAACAUGAAAUUCAUAUAUAUCCUUGACUAAAUGAUUAAAACCUCACGAUCUAAGCUUAUAGAUUUGAGAUGAAGUAUAAUUUCCUCUCCCUUAAUUAUAGCAAAACAACUUUUUCCCAAUUGAAACUUUUGUUUUCUAUAAUUAACAUUGCUAACUUGCAAUACUUAUCAUAAUUAUCAUGCUCCCACUAACAUGAUGAUUAUUAGCAUAACACUUAUGCUCCCACUAGCUUUGACAUGUACUCAGAAAUCAGCUGGACUUCUAGAAAUCAAUACUUCAUUGACUUUCUUACCAAAGUUCAGAUUUCUGAUACUAGAUUGUUUUGAUAAAACUUUAUCAAAAUCAUACACCUUCCCUUAGAUAGCACACUUGUGUAUCUAAACAAUUAUGAAGAGGGAUGCCGUAAUCAUAAUGUUUAGACCUUUUUGCCACUUCUCACAAGUCCAAAUUAGUGUGCCGGUUAACCACACGCGCUCCACUAACGACUUUGAGAAUGCAAAUAUCACAAUUGCUAUCUAGCUAAAAUCUACUUAGUGAAAGUGUUUCCUCACCAUCAUUUUCAUGAAUCGGAGAGAAACCUUAUGACACUUAGAUUUAAUGGUGUAUGUGUUCUUAUCCAUGUGAAUUGUCAAAAUCAUAGUCACAAGACAAGGAUAAUGACAAAUCCAAACUCAUAUGGACUGAACUCAAUCUUAAUUUCUUGCCACCUGGCAGCUCAAGGGCCUACCAUUGCUUCCAAGUUGUUGUGCAACCAAUUGAGAACUCUAAGAACUCAUAUGCAAAGCCAACUUUAACUGGAAUGGGCACAGAAUAUGUCAACACGAUAGGUUAUAAACCUCAAGUCGUGUGCUAGUGAAGAACUUCAGGUUUUAUUCUUGAUUAGUUCUUGAGACUUUCAAGACCUUUAAGACUCCCACUGUCCUCUUGACAUAUAAGACUCCCUUGUCAAACAUCCAAGAGAUAGUGCGGAUUCUAAUCAAGAAAAACACUUUACCCAAUUGGCCUAAGUUGGUCUUUGUUUUAUCCAAAACAUCACAACUUACCAAUUUCAAAUGUACAAGAGUAGAAAACUUUUACUCUUACAUUUGACAAGUGUUUUAAACCUUCUUUAAGACAUGUCACUCAAAUGACAAUCUUGGAGUAUGACUCUAAGACUUGUAUUGGAACGAAGUAUGACUCAUCUUCUUGAUUUAACCAUUUCAACAAUUCAAGUUCCUCUUCUUAGUCAUAAGAAUGCACUAAGAUUUCCUUAGAGAACUAAUUUUGAUAUGGUUUCUUAAUCAUUAAGAUGAUCACAAAACUGAUACUAAAGUACUCUCCCAUCUUUUCAGAUUUGAGAAACUUUUAUCCUUCUGCCUUAUUUGAUUCUUCUUAUCGAUCUUUAGUGGUGGACUUAAUCAGUGCACAAGAAUGUGUACUCGAUCCCUAAGUCCUUUACUUGACUCACACAUCCAUGUGAACAAGUAAUUAGUCUUAAUUUUCCAAAACUUGAAAGUUCUCAUUCAUCAUGCUAUACAACUUGCAUGAUUCCAAGUUCCGGUCCAAUUGAAACUUGGGUGAUGAGAAUCUUUCCUUAUUUGGUAAAUUUAGACAUUACCACAAAUGAAAGAAUCAAUUUCAUACUUCCACUCUUGCUACUAAUGGAAUCUUAUAAGCAACAAAAAUUUCCACAGAUGCCAUUGUAAGGAUAUUUUAAAAUAAAUAAAAUCAAAAAUUUCCUUUUAUUUUAAAACUUUGCGGAAAAACUAUCCUUACAAUCCAUAUGAAAACUUGUUGUUAUCUAUUCCUAAGCAAUAUCUCAUAACUCCUAAGAAGUAGCUCAAGAAUCCGAUUUUUCAAACUAUGCGAUAGAAAUCCAUCUAUGCGAUCAGAUUCAGCAUAUUCUUCCUUUAAGUUUCUUCACUUUCCUUUGAUUCUUAAACCAUCACCAUGCGACCCGGUCACAUCAUGUAUCAAGAAUCUCAGAAUAGAAACUUAACAGAGUUAGAUAGUGGAUUUUACCUGAAGUAGAGUCAAACUUAUUGACUUUAACAUCCUUAGGUAAAUUUGGCAGCUUCGCAACCAAUGCCCUUUCUUUGGCAAUACAAACAUAUGGACCCUUUGAUAAUGGUACACAGGACUAUCACAGACUUAGCUUUUCUCUUUACCAUUUGGUCAACCGAGUUGACUAUAGCCGAUCCCUUUCCAUUGGGAAGAGAAUGCUUUACUGGAUAUCCAAUGUCAUCAUUGUCAAUGUCCAUAAAGUUUUAGGAAGUUGAUCUUAACAAAUAGAUAAGAUCAUUAAGGGUCUUGUCAUAGUCUUUUUCAUAGGUGUUCCAAAAGAACUCACUAUGUGACUUAGAAAGUAGUUGAACCACCAACUUUCUCAAGACUUUGACACCCAACUCUCCCGGCUUGUCAAUAUGUGACUACAUCUCCAAGAUGUGACCACACCUAGACCUUGCCUUGCCAAAAGGGCCUGAGUGACCUUAAACUUUUCAAGAACUUGUGGGUUAGGGAGAAUAAUUUGAAGAGGUGAAGAAGUAUGAUAUCCAUGGGACAUCAUCUUCAUUAGGAAACCUUGUUUCAAGAGAUUUGGGAAGAUCAUAGGUGUCUAAACCAGACAUCUUUUGGGAGAUAUUCAAGAUAGUUGAUUUAAAGUCCUUAAUAUGACACCCAAUAUGAAAUAUUAAGGCUAGGACCCAACAAACUAUUUUAUAACUUAGAAGAGGUAUGCCGUAAUCCAAGCUAUAAAAUAUUUGAAGGUAGGUGAAUGACGAUUCACCAAUUUCCACCAAGAUAAACGAAAUGUAUUAUUAGGUUUUAAUUGGUUUUGAAACUCCUAGAUCUUUGAGAUUCAUUGAACUUUUCAAAGGCAUGUUUCAAUCUCGAGUGUGCCCUUCAGGUUUUGUGACUGGGAUGCCGAGGAUCACAAAACAAGGUGUGAAGUAACCAUGCAAAUCACUUGGUACCCUUAAUAAAUUACCCCUCAAUCGAUGUGCCGGUUAACCACACACGCUCCAUCGAUACUAUGAUAAAUAUUAAGUCACCCUUUACCUACCUUGUUAAGUCCAAGUUAGUGUGCCGGUUAACCACACACGCUCCACUAACGACUUAGACAAAGUGUAAAGUGUAAUUUCAUGGAUUAGCACCUUAUUCACAUUUUUCCUAAGUAACUAAGAUUGGGUAUUAUUAAGAGUUUAGUUACUUAGUAUUAUCAUUAAUACUUUUAAUGAAGGGAGAAUUCUAGUCCUGUCAAACCCGUUCGGCUAACGACCCUCCACCAGUCAAGCAAGCGGUGGGUGAGAGUGGACACCCAUUAAGUUGCCAUUUUAUAGGCAACAACCUUAUACCCACCUUAUAGACCGGCUUCGUGAAUGAGGCGUACUAGCGGUAAGACUGACUUUACUCUUAUACAUAUAUAUAUUAUUAACUUAUAAUAUUAUAAAGUAUAAGGGUUGAAUUUUAACUUUUAAAAUUCUAAGGGCUAACUUGGAAUUAAAGUAUUCAUAAGUGAAAACUUUACAAAUUCCAAAACUUGAGGGCAAGUUUUGAAACUAUUCAAAACUAAUUAAUUCCAUAACUUAUGUGUUUAAAGUAGUUUUAAUCCAAAAACUCUUCAAGUUCCAUAACUUGAGGACAAGUUAUGGAAGACUUUAAACUAAUAAAAGAAUUAACUUUUCUUUAUUUUAUAACUUAUGGAAUUAAUUAAGGUUACACUUUUUUUUUUUUUAUUUUAUUUUAUUAAAUGAAGAGACUCUUGGUCCUCCAUAACUUGAGGACAAGUUAUGGAGUCAUAAAACCAUUUAAUUAGAACUAGACUCUUCAUUUUUGUAACCUUUGCCAAUUUUUAUGAGUUUUAUGAUUCUUAAAUGUGACUUUUCAUAUAACUUGAGGACAAGUUACAAAAACACAUUUUAGAAUCAAUUCUUAGAUUAAUUUGGAUUAAAACCAACUAUCACAUAAUUUUAUUCAUUAAUCUAAAUUCACUCAUAAAACAAGGUAACACAAAAAACUUUUGGUGAUCCAUAACUUAUUCUUAAGUUAUGGAAUCCUUUAAAACAUUAACACCAAAUUUUGUAACUCCAAAAAAACUUUGAAUCAAUUUUUUUUUUAAAACCUUUUCAUAUCCAUAACUUAUGGAGGUUUCAAAAAAUAAAACUCUUUAGAUCAAACUUUUAAAACUAAUAAAAUAAUCAUAUUAUUUUAUCUUUUAUUAAAUUUGACCUAAUUCAACUCAUAAAGCAAAUUAUUCAAAUUUUACAAAUAAUUAGUUUUUCACAAGAACAAGUAAUUAUCUUAAAAUUUGACAAACUUCAUGUUUUUUUUUUUUUUUUUUUUCAACUUUGAAAAUAAAAUAUUUGCAUCAAUAUAACAGAAAACAACCCGUGGCUCUGAUACCACUGUUGGGUUUUGAGCAUUCUAACACUUCCUAAGUGUACAUGCAACCCUAAAUACCUUGGAUCUAUGUUUUCUCUAUUAUACAUGCAAAUAAGAACUUCCAAGGUAUUAUCCUAAUCUAGCAUACAAAAUAAUAACUAUAGCAAGAUAGAAUACAUACCUCUUUGAUGUAGAAAGUCUUCAUGAAGCUUGAGUGCCUAGUGCCCCAAGUGUGACACCUCAAAUGGAAUCACAAUCAUCAAAACACUUAGAAUAGCUUGAGAGAAUUCUACACUUUAUGAAAUCGGCUAGCCCUCUCUAGAAUAAUACUAGCGCACGAUUUUGCCAAGAAAAAUAUCUUUAUAUAGUGUUACAAUUAGGGUAAACUCCUAAUUGUCAUGGCUUUCCAUUUCCUUGGAUCCAUGGGUUCAAAUACACCAUGGAGCAUCCAUGAACCAUCCUAUGGGUUUUAGCCCAACUUGAUUAUCCAUGGAGCAUUAGCCCACUAUACAAGUAUGGAUGAUUUACACAAUCAACCCAUAUAUUUAAUUAGUCUUCUUUUGAUCACUUAAUUAAUCCUAGAUUAAUUCUUGAUCAAUACUAAUUAAAUAAUCUCAUUAUUCUUAUUAUUAAUAUGGUAGAACUUAUAAUAUAUUAAUAACCAUAAGUGUCUUAUUUCUCUCAUUUAGUCUAUCCAAAUGCAUGAUGGUAUGCAACCCAAAUGGACCAUGCCGGGUCGGGUCAAGUCUUACCAAUUAUAGUUAUGGACUUAGACAUUAAUCGAACAGAAGGAGUGCAUCAUAACGAAGCUCAUGGUAAUCCUUUAAUUAUUCUUUCCUCUACUUUCGACACAUCUGCUAUUUCACCCACCACUUCUUUACCACCAUUUCAAACCAAUUCCUUAAAUUUUGAAAACAUCAUUGAUCAACCUAUUACUUCUUUAUUUUCAUCUCAAUCCACUGAUCCCAACAUUAUUGAAGAAGAUAACACCACUAAAGAUGGUGAGUUUACGGGUACAUUUUCUGAUUUUGAGUUUGAUGUAGAAGAGGAAAAUAUUCUGGAUCUUAUGUUGAUGUCUAGGAAGCAGUUUAAGAUUCUUAUUAGGAAAUUC